GGGCGGUUAGUUCAGGGGGAGAACGCCUCGUUGACACCGAGGAGGUCAGUGGUUCAAGUCCACUAUCGCCCACCA
rnacentral:tRNA from 1 species